ACCAUGCAAGUCGAGCGGCAGCGCGGGGCAACCUGGCGGCGAGCGGCGAACGGGUGAGUAACACAUCGGAACGUGCCCAGACGUGGGGGAUAGCCCGGCGAAAGCCGGAUUAAUACCGCAUACGAUCUGAGGAUGAAAGCGAGGGCGAUCGCAAUGACCUCGCGCGUUUGGAGCGGCUCGAUGGACAGAUUAUGGUAGUUGGUGGGAGUAAUAGGCUUACCAACGCCUGCGAUCUGUAGCUGGUCUGAGAGGAUGAUCAGACCACACUGGGACUGACACACGGCCCGAACUCCUACGGGAGAGCAGCAGUGGGGAAUUUUGGACAAUGGGCGCAAGCCUGAUCCAGACCAUUCCAGCGUGCAGGACGAAGGCCUUCGAGGAUGUAAACUGCUUAUUGUAAACAUCGUAUAUUAGUCCUCGUUCUCAUAAACAGAGCGUGUGUUGUGACGGUACCGUACGCAAUAAUAAAUAACCACCUACNAGCUCGCACCCGCGGUAAAAAAAAAAA
rnacentral:rRNA from 1 species